GUGAAGAUAACUAACCCAUCUGAUUGCAUGAAGAAGGGGUCAGGGACUGA
rnacentral:snoRNA from 2 species